rnacentral:rRNA from 1 species
UACGUAGGGUGCGAGCGUUAAUCGGAAUUACUGGGCGUAAAGCGUGCGCAGGCGGUUUUGUAAGCCAGGUGUGAAAGCCCCGGGCUUAACCUGGGAAUGGCAUUUGGGACUGCAAGGCUGGAGUGUGGCAGAGGAGACUGGAAUUCCUGGUGUAGCAGUGAAAUGCGCAGAUAUCAGGAGGAACACCGGUGGCGAAAGCGGCUUCCUGGACCAGUACCGACGUUCAGGCACGAAAGCGUGGGGAGCAAACAGG